AGUAGCAUCAAAUGACUGAGGGCGACGAGAGGGAACCGAGUGAGAGACUGCCUGGGACGGAGCAAGAGCAACGUCCUGUGGAAGAGGUGCCGCCUCCUCCACCCUCCCCUCCCAAUCUCACUGACAAGCUCAACAAGAAACUCCUCACUUCCUUCCUUGACAGACUCAAUAAUGGACAGAUACCAAUGCUGGACAAUCUACCCCAACCUGCUCAGACAGAAGAAUUCGAUAGUGACUCUGAGACCGAAUAGCUAAUUUUGAUUUUUGUGAUUUAAUGUGAUAUAUUUUCCGUUUUACUUUGUUAAACACUAAUCAAAAAUGAGGUAAGAAUUAAAAAUUCGAAAUGGAUUUUUGGGGGUAUUAUUUUCCAGGUUUUUGCUUAAUAAAUGAUCAGACAGGUUUCCUUUAAUGAUCUAUCAACAAUUUGAUCCCAGUACGUGGACACUGUGCGCUGCCAGUUGUACUUUUUGAGUAAACGUUGACUGUUGACGCCGCAACAUAUUUCAUUUUAAAAAGCUUAAGAUAUCGAUUUUUUGACUAUUGUUGUAUAACUACAAUGUACAAGUAUUAUAUAAUUUAUAUUUCAACCAUAAUUUAUCUUCA